UACCCAGCUGAUCAUUCCGAGGAGUCGUAGGGGACUGCCGGAGUUAAUUCGGAGGAAGGUGGGGACGACGUCAAGUCAUCAUGCCCCUUACGUCCAGGGCUGCACGCAUGCUACAAUGGCCGGUACAAAGGGUCGCCAACCCGCGAGGGGGAGCCAAUCCCAAAAAACCGGUCUCAGUUCGGAUCGCAGUCUGCAACUCGCCUGCGUGAAGCGGAUCGCUAGAA
rnacentral:rRNA from 1 species